UACGGAGGGUGCGAGCGUUGUCCGGAAUCAUUGGGCGUAAAGGGCGCGUAGGUGGCCCGGUCAGUCUUUGGUGAAAGCGCGGGGCUCAACCCUGCGUCGGCCAGGGAUACUGCCGCGCUCGAGCACUGUAGAGCAGGCGGAAUUCCAGGUGUAGCGGUGAAAUGCGUAGAUAUCUGGAGGAAUACCGGUGGCGAAGGCGGCAAUCCUGGACCGGCAGUUGACGCUGAGGAGCGAAAGC
rnacentral:rRNA from 1 species